CCUACGGGAGGCAGCAGUAGGGAAUCUUCCACAAUGGGCGAAAGCCUGAUGGAGCAACGCCGCGUGGGUGAAGAAGGUUUUCGGAUCGUAAAACCCUGUUGUUAGAGAAGAAAGUGCGUGAGAGUAACUGUUAACGUCUCGACGGUAUCUAACCAGAAACCCACGGCUAACUACGUGCACGCAGCCUAGGUAAUACGUAGGUGGCAAGCGUUAUCCGGAUUUGUUGGGCGUAAAGGGUACGAAGGCGGGCUUUUAAGUCUGAUGUGAAAGCCUUCGGCUUAACCGGAGUAGUGCAUUUGAAACUGGGAGACUUGAGUGCAGAAGAGGAGAGUGGAACUCCAUGUGUAGCGGUGAAAUGCGUAGAUA
rnacentral:rRNA from 1 species